CGGGUUGUAGCUUAGCUUGGUAGAGCACUUGGUUUGGGACCAAGGGGUCGCAAGUUCAAAUCUUGUCAACCCGACCA
rnacentral:tRNA from 1 species